rnacentral:rRNA from 1 species
CUUGUGUGUUAGUGGAACGGUCUGGAAAGUCCGACGGUACAGGGUGAUAGUCCCGUACACCAAAAUGCACAGGCUGUGAACUCGAAGAGUAGGGCGGGACACGUGGUAUCCUGUCUGAAUAUGGGGGGACCAUCCUCCAAGGCUAAAUACUCCUGACUGACCGAUAGUGAACCAGUACCGUGAGGGAAAGGCGAAAAGAACCCCGGCGAGGGGAGUGAAAAAGAACCUGAAACCGUGUACGUACAAGCAGUGGGAGCACCUUCGGGUGUGACUGCGUACCUUUUGUAUAAUGGGUCAGCGACUUAUAUUCUGUAGCAAGGUUAACCGUAUAGGGGAGCCGCAGGGAAACCGAGUCUUAACUGGGCGUUAAGUUGCAGGGUAUAGACCCGAAACCCGGUGAUCUAGCCAUGGGCAGGUUGAAGGUUGGGUAACACUAACUGGAGGACCGAACCGACUAAUGUUGAAAAAUUAGCGGAUGACUUGUGGCUGGGGGUGAAAGGCCAAUCAAACCGGGAGAUAGCUGGUUCUCCCCGAAAGCUAUUUAGGUAGCGCCUCGUGAACUCAUCUUCGGGGGUAGAGCACUGUUUCGGCUAGGGGGUCAUCCCGACUUACCAACCCGAUGCAAACUACGAAUACCGAAGAAUGUUAUCACGGGAGACACACGGCGGGUGCUAACGUCCGUCGUGAAGAGGGAAACAACCCAGACCGCCAGCUAAGGUCCCAAAGUCAUGGUUAAGUGGGAAACGAUGUGGGAAGGCACAGACAGCCAGGAUGUUGGCUUAGAAGCAGCCAUCAUUUAAAGAAAGCGUAAUAGCUCACUGGUCGAGUCGGCCUGCGCGGAAGAUGUAACGGGGCUAAACCAUGCACCGAAGCUGCGGCAGCGACACUAUGUGUUGUUGGGUAGGGGAGCGUUCUGUAAGCCUGCGAAGGUGUGCUGUGAGGCAUGCUGGAGGUAUCAGAAGUGCGAAUGCUGACAUAAGUAACGAUAAAGCGGGUGAAAAGCCCGCUCGCCGGAAGACCAAGGGUUCCUGUCCAACGUUAAUCGGGGCAGGGUGAGUCGACCCCUAAGGCGAGGCCGAAAGGCGUAGUCGAUGGGAAACAGGUUAAUAUUCCUGUACUUGGUGUUACUGCGAAGGGGGGACGGAGAAGGCUAUGUUAGCCGGGCGACGGUUGUC